rnacentral:rRNA from 1 species
UACGGAGGGUGCGAGCGUUGUCCGGAAUCAUUGGGCGUAAAGGGCGCGUAGGCGGCGCGGUAAGUCACUUGUGAAAUCUCUGAGCUUAACUCAGAACGGCCAAGUGAUACUGCAGUGCUAGAGUGCAGAAGGGGCAAUCGGAAUUCUUGGUGUAGCGGUGAAAUGCGUAGAUAUCAAGAGGAACACCUGAGGUGAAGACGGGUUGCUGGGCUGACACUGACGCUGAGGCGCGAAAGCCAGGGGAGCAAACGGG